ensembl:lncRNA
AUAAGGCAGUGUUCCUAGAGCUCCUGUCCCAUUAAAAUUUUGACCUGGCCUCCUUGUUGGCUUGUAUCUGAACAUCUCCAAGGCACCCUGUCAAUGACGUGAUCCGCCUCUGGCCACUAUCUGUGACAUGUGACAGAAGGGCAGUCUGACAGAAUGGCAUCUGACAUGGCAGCACAUAUGAAGAUGUGUCACUCUACACAUGCCUCUUCCACAUGCCUCCAUGCGGAAAAAAUGGCACCCACUGACAUUCAUUGACACCUGCUGAACAUCUGUGGAGUCCAAACAGUGAAUAAAGUUUUUCACUUAAGACGUUCAUCCGUUGGCAGUACAGUUUAUCUCCUUGGGAGGUAAACAGACAUAAGGGGUGGCAACAGGAAGAGCCUUUGUGCUGCUCCUGGCUGCAGCACAGUGCAUGACAGACAGCUAUGCCUGUCUCCUGAUCUCUCCUGACCACAUAUCCAGAGAGAUUUGUGAUUCAGAAUGGCACUAGAGAAGAUCCUCUUUGAAGAAAAGGCAACCUUCCAGCUUGGGUAAUGGAGCCAGCCCUGCACAGGCAAGGCCAUUCUGGAGUCACCAGGGAGCAACCAGCGAGCACCAACCAUAAGAAACUGAGUCUCUGAGGCUUCUGCAGCUCCAGAAUUGCUCCUAAGGUAACGAGAUUCACAGACCAUUGUCUCCAAAAAGCCGUUAUUCCGCCCAUACCCUUCCUUGUCCUGACUGUGAAUUCCAUACUCAUCACACGCUUUCCCAAGAAAGUGUCUGCAUGAACCUUUGCUGAUGGGUGUUACAAUAUUUCACAGUAGAAAUCCAGAGAAUGUGUUGUAAAAAGCAGAAAGACUUGGUCUGGCUGAGAUUUUUUUCUUUUUGUACUAGACUGGGAGCUCUACCAAAUAAAACACCCUGAAGUUCUCUGCUUCUGUCUGACUUAGCAAACCGAACAAGUGAAGUGGAUAUAAAUAUCCCUGCGGCAUUUAUCAAGAAGUGAAAUUGAGCAACAAAGUAAAUUUUGGUGAUGAGGAGGUACAUUGUUGAUGGCCUUCAGAUACAACAACAGCUGCAGUAAGAAGGCCUUUCGGUUCUAGAACCUGAAGAAGGAACCUUGCAGUCCAAUUGUACUGCUGGUUACCUGCUCCCCUGACAGCACUUGAGCACUCUGUCCACACAAUGCAGUCAUUCUCUUCAGGCUGAUGAACUCUGAGGAUAUCAGUGACAAACAGCAAAGUAUUUUGAUUGCAACACAGGUCUUUGAACUAAAACUCCAGAGGAAUGUUGGCACAGGGCUAACAAUGCCGAGCAAUUAGCCUAAGUGCUCUCCCACUGAAAUGUAAUCACCCUCCACAAGGAACUAGCUCCUGCUGGGGAAAGCAAGGAGAAGGCGAAUUUGGCAAGAAGUCACCUGGCAGGCGGUCUACCAACACCUCCCUGAGUGCCACUCAGGUGCCAUGUUCACCCUCUGGAGGCUGCAUGUGAAUGAGGCCCCAGGCCCCCAGCAGUGUCUGGCUGCAUCCAAGGAGCCUCUCACAUGUUUUUCCCUUUGAGUAAAAACAGGAGGCCU